UCUUCGAGCAGGUCACUGUGCAUAUAAGAUGCCUCAAUUAAAUGCAGUGGACCUCAAAAAUGUUUUAUAGUAUAUUUAUAUUUGAAAGCUUUUUUUAAUUACCAUGGAAGCAUAAGGUCCCUCCCAUGCCUGACACCUACGCAUUACAUCUUUACAGGGACAGAAAGGACAGAUGGUGAUUAGGAAUUCCUCAGGUAGCUAUCCAUGGUGCUGAAGUCAUGACAUUUUAUACUUACACAACUUUAAGAAGGCUCCUGUCCUCGAGCCCUUCUGCAUGCACUGUGUGCUGUGACCCGGUCAGCCUGUAGCGUGACCAAGAAGUGCCAUGAGAACAAGGGUGAGAAGGUGGAGGAGGAGACAGACCCCCGGGCAAGCACGCAUGCAUGCAUGCACGCACAUAAUGGACUUCAUCAACAGUAUUAAAAUUAAAAUGGUCAGAGAGUUGUUGCCACCUUGAUCGCUUCUAUAACCGCAUUCACUCUUUUAAGUUUUGAAGGAUCUCGAGUAUGGGAUUUUGUCUAUUCACCCUAAGUGGCUUACAAGCUGUGUUUGAAUUCAUCACUACAACUUUUUGAGGUCAUGGCUAUCAAAUUCUUUAGCUACAAACUCAUUCAAGCUUGUCAUUUUAUUCACAUUUCCUUUUAAAAAAAGGUUUCCUGUAAAGGUAGACUUGUUGUCCAAAAUAUGUUUUAAGGUGAAGCAUCAGGAUUCAGUAGCCCAUGCAAUUCAAAAUUCACAAAAGGAUCUACCGCAACAUCUAAUAUGGUUGAAAUUUCACUAGCGAGAGAAAAAUUACAAUCAGAAUUGCCAUAAAAUGGACAUUUAAAUGAAUAUUCAAUUGUCUACAGCGUGUUUGGAUUCAAUAGCACAAUUUCAUACUUUGGAAGGCAUGUAAAUGUUAAGAAAAAUAUUCUCUAUGACAUUUAUUGACUUAGCCUGGACUGUAAAGCAGAUUAUUGACUGCACAGUCAGACAUCUGAAGCCAGAGGCUUCUAACUGAGAAGGGCGAGCACAUUUAUUGAUACUUUCAAGUUGCCACAUCAGUACACUGAUAAUCGCAUCCAAUCAACAAUAAAAGUUCACUACUUGCUAGCACUGCUGGAGUUCACCUAUGCCAUGGUCACAUACAAUGCCAUGGUAAUCCUUACUUUAAUUGCAGUUCAGUUCUGGGUAACACUUUAGAUUAAUGUCCUAGGAAAAAGCAUGAAUAACAGUUAACAAGUGUUAUUAAGUCCUUUAUAUAAUGCUUAUCAACAUUAAUAUAUGUUGAUAAGUGUUCGUAAUGGCCUUAAUAUCAGGCAAAAAGACCUUUAUAAAUACUUAGUUCAUAGGUCAUAGCGCCCUGGAAUCUUAACCUAUCCGGUGCGCUUGUGUCCAAUCCGAAUUCAUUUUUUUGCCUCAAUACAAAUGGAAUAUUCUUUAUUGUACCUCUCAACAAUUAGUUUCUUGGUAGACUGUAAUGAGUUACAGUUGGAAAAAUAUAACAGGUCCCAGGCGUGAAUACACUUCAGGCAGCUUAUGUUGAUUGUCAAAAAAUACGGGACACGAAUGAAUGUACAAUAGAAACGUGUUGUCUUUGCAAGAAUCAUCCAAUAUUUUUUUAUUAAUCUCCAAGGCUGUUAUUU